rnacentral:rRNA from 1 species
UGCCAGCANHMGCGGUUAAACAAGUAAAUCAAGUUAGUAUAAACUGGUUAAAAAUAACAUGUUUUGAAAAUUACUUUUAAUGAGUUUAAUGUUAAAAAGUAAUCUUUUAUAAAAACUAUUAUUUUAAAAACUCAUAAUGAGAAACCAGGAUUAGAUACCCUGUUAUCUAUGAACGUAGUAACAUUAACCUAGUAAUAAAGAAACAUCUCUUUUAAACUAAAAAGUCUGGCUUAUACUUUAAAAAUUGGGGGAACCUGUGAUAUAAUCAAAAAUACGUGAUAAGUUUUACCUAAAUUAAUUUUACAUAUCAUCGUUUUUAAUAAGAUAAAAAUAAUAACAAUUCUUAUUCAAUUCUAUAAUAAAGAAAUAAUUCGGAUUAAGGUGUAGAUUAUUUAGGAAAAAAUAGGUUACAUAUAAAAUUUUAGUGAAAGUAUAAUUAAAAUUAAACACUAAGACUAGGACUCAAAAGUAAUUUAAUCUUAAAAUGAUAAAAUGAAUUAAAAUAAAGUUAAGUACAUAUUGCCCGUCAAUCUUCAAUAAAAUGUAGAWAAGUCGUAACAHAGUA